AUUGAACGCUGGCGGCAUGCCUAACACAUGCAAGUCGAGCGGUUGAAGGGGGCUUUCUCCUGGAUUCAGCGGCGGACGGGUGGGUAAUGCCUAGGAAUCUGCCUUGUAGUGUGGGAUAACGUCCGGAAACGGGAGCUAAUACCGCAUACGUCCUGAGGGAAUAAGAGGGGGAUCUUCGGACCUCAGGCUAUUAGCUGAACCUAGGUAGGAUUAGCUAUUGGGUGGGGUAAUGGCCUACGAAGUGGAGGAUCCGGACCUGGUCUGAUAGGAUGAUCAGUAAGCCUGGAACUGGGCACGGGCCCAGCCUCCUACGGGAGGAAGAAGUGGGGAAUAUCGGACAAUGGGGGAACGCUUGAUCCAGACAGGCGGCGUGUGUGAGGAAGGUCUUCGGAUUGAAAACCACGUUGAGUUGGGAGGACGGGCAGUAAGUUAGUACCUUGCUGUUUUGACGUUACCAUACGAAUAAGCACCGGCUAACUACGUG
rnacentral:rRNA from 1 species